CCAAGGCGACGACGGGUAGCCGGCCUGAGAGGGCGACCGGCCACACUGGGACUGAGACACGGCCCAGACUCCUACGGGAGGCAGCAGUGGGGAAUAUUGCACAAUGGGCGAAAGCCUGAUGCAGCGACGCCGCGUGAGGGAUGACGGCCUUCGGGUUGUAAACCUCUUUCAGCAGGGAAGAAGCGAAAGUGACGGUACCUGCAGAAGAAGCGCCGGCUAACUACGUGCCAGCAGCCGCGGUAAUACGUAGGGCGCAAGCGUUGUCCGGAAUUAUUGGGCGUAAAGAGCUCGUAGGCGGCUUGUCACGUCGGAUGUGAAAGCCCGGGGCUUAACCCCGGGUCUGCAUUCGAUACGGGCUAGCUAGAGUGUGGUAGGGGAGAUCGGAAUUCCUGGUGUAGCGGUGAAAUGCGCAGAUAUCAGGAGGAACACCGGUGGCGAAGGCGGAUCUCUGGGCCAUUACUGACGCUGAGGAGCGAAAGCGUGGGGAGCGAACAGGAUUAGAUACCCUGGUAGUCCACGCCGUAAACGUUGGGA
rnacentral:rRNA from 1 species